rnacentral:rRNA from 1 species
GACGAACCGUGCGAACGUUAUUCGGAAUUACUGGGCUUAAAGCGCGUGUAGGCGGGCCGGCACGUCCGACGCUGAAAGCCCCGGGCUCAACCUGGGAAUGGCAAUGGAUACUGGCAGGCUAGAGUGCGGUAGAGGGUAGUGGAAUUCCCGGUGUAGCGGUGAAAUGCGUAGAGAUCGGGAGGAACACCGGUGGCGAAGGCGGCUACCUGGACCAGCACUGACACUGAGGCACGGAAAGCGUGGGGAGCAAACAGGG